AUGGAAAUCAGAGCAUUCUGUCCCUCCUAAAAUGGGUCAUGUUGGGAGAGUUCAUUGCAGUUCAAUAUCAUCGUCAAUCACAGCAGAGGGCACACCACGGAGAAGCAGAGGGAAGAAAACAAAGAUGGACUGCAGCUCUUUCCAAUAUCUGCUGUGAUCCCUCCAUUCCCACCUGGUUUCUAUGGAGGUAUGCAACCUCGGCGGUGAAACGGGGGACAUCCUCUAGAAGGGAUUUCUCUGUGGCAGCUUAAGGUUCUCAACUUCAAGAAGAGAAUGUGGCAGAAUUGUUUUGUAAGAAGUCAGAUGAAAUUUUAAGCAUGUUUUAAACCCAGACCAAAAAUCUGCAGUUGGCAUAUAAUCCAUAUGUUUAUAAUUUAGUGACGACAGGAGGUGAAGGAGAUUAAGCGGUGAGUGCUUAUGCUUACAAUUGAAUAAUUAUUUAUCCACAGGGGAGUCACAGUGGAUUCUGCCUUCAGGAUACAAUUUAGCGAGAUAUUUAUAUGUUUAAGGAUAAAUUAGGAGAGCCAUAAUGUUGAAGGGGCACAGGAGGGGGAAUUUUAAAUAACCUUAAUCUUGUUAUUAGUGAAUACAUUACAUUUCACAUUCUGGCCCACCCAUUACUGCUGUUCCUGUGCUGCUUUUAUCAUAAGCUAAACCUAGGAAGCAAAAUAUUAUUUUGUAGAUUAUAUUAUCAGAGUUCAUUUGAUUGCGGACAGUACAAACAUGCUACUGCUUUAUUUCCUACAGAUGAUUUCUGUAUUUAAGUAUAUGUGAUGAAGGCUAAAGCAAGGUAUUUUCUCAUACAGUAUGCCUCCUAUCUGUACUUAUAUAAGCACCAAUUACAUUUGUGUUUACUUCUGUAAUCC